UACAGAGGUCCCAAGCGUUGUUCGGAUUCAUUGGGCGUAAAGGGCGCGUAGGCGGCCCGUCAAGUCCCGUGUGAAAGCCCCCGGCUCAACCGAGGAACUGCACAGGAAACUGCUUGGCUUGAGUUCGGGAGAGGGAAGCGGAAUUCCGGGUGUAGCGGUGAAAUGCGUAGAUAUCCGGAGGAACACCGGUGGCGAAGGCGGCUUCCUGGACCGACACUGACGCUGAGGCGCGAAAGCUAGGGGAGCAAACGGG
rnacentral:rRNA from 1 species